rnacentral:rRNA from 1 species
AAAGCAUCUAAGCACGAAACUUGCCCCGAGAUGAGUUCUCCCUGACUCCUUGAGAGUCCUGAAGGAACGUUGAAGACGACGACGUUGAUAGGCCGGGUGUGUAAGCGCAGCGAUGCGUUGAGCUAACCGGUACUAAUGAACCGUGAGGCUUAACCUUACAACGCCGAAGGUGUUU